AUUACUUCUCGGCCUUUUGGCUAAGAUCAAGAAUAGUAUCUCUUUAGCAAUUUCAUUUUUAAGUCAUAAAGUGCUUUUAAAAAAUGUUCUUUCCCAUACCAGCUCCUUGUUCCUUUCCUGUCUCACGCUAAGAGGUCUUAAA
rnacentral:snRNA from 1 species